UUCAUCAUCUCAGCCCUUCAUGGGGCUCGGCUCCACACUCGGUUCCCGCCGGUCGUGCCCACCAGGAGAUGGCACUGGAGAACCUGUCCUGCAGAGACAAGGCAAAAAUGCCGAUUCACAAACCGGCUCUGUGCUCGUGAACACGAAAUAAUCCGGAAGGUAUCUCUCCUCCGUAGUAUUUGCUUUUAGGAAGGACUUAAGGCUUUGGCUUUUUUUUCAUUUUGUUCUCAAACAUGAUGAAGAAGAAGCUAAAAGGAAGCCAACCACAGCACCCAGUGAAUGCCAUCUGGGUUUGCCUUGUGAAGCACAUUCUAUUUUCUCAACUGUUACUUCUCGUGAAGAUUGAUGAAAAUGUCUUCAACACGAUCUAAAUGGCAUUUAUGCCUCAGGGUUCACUUCGUGCCUUUUGAUGCGUCCCUGAUCAGGCUUUGUUUUGGGAGGUGUGAUGGUAUAGGACCAUUAACCGUUACCAAAUGCAUAAGCAUCAUUCAAGUGAAGAAGUGCAAACAGAGGAAAGCUCCUGUAAUUAUAAGCAUCAGCACAGAAGGGAAGCUUCAAAAAGGACCUCGAGAGAUCAUGGAGUCCAUCCUCUGCAAGAAGGAGCAAGGAUAGCUGGAGGUCUGCCCAGCUUUCAAUGGAACAGCAGUGCAGGCUUUAUGGGAAUGCCUGAAAUGCUUUGAUG
rnacentral:lncRNA from 1 species